GAUUUCAACUGAAAAAGUUAUCAACAACAAAGUUGAAUAACUCAUCAAGAUCUAAAACUUUUAUUUUGGUCAUUUUUUCAUUUGAUAAAGUAUAGUAACAUUGUUCACAAAAUUGACAUAUCUCUUAUCUGGUUUUAUAAACUAUAACACAUAUAUGUAAAAUUUGUGAACAAUGUUACUAACAUUUUAUCAGAUGAAGAAACGACCAAAAUAAAAGUUUUAGAUCUUGAUGAGUUAUUUAACUUUGUUAUUGAUAACUUUUUCACUUGAAAUC
rnacentral:pre_miRNA from 1 species